GAGAACCACAGAAAUGGCCGCGAGUCUUGCUAGCUUUGAAGAUAAAGAAAUAGGGUCAUGAGCCAAGGAAUGCAGGCAUCCUCUACAAAGAGGAAGAAGCAAGAGAACAGAUUCUCCCCAAGAACCUCCAGAAAGGAAUGCAGGCCUGGCGUCACAUGGAUUUUAGCACGGUGAAACUCAUUUUAGACUUCUGAUCUUCAGAAUGGUUGCCGAGCUCUGAGGAAACGUGGAUGCAGCCCAGUGGUCGUGUGAAGAAGCCUUAUCCAUCAAUCAGCUGCACCCCCGUGAAGAGCACAGCAGCGACGGUGAGGAUGGGAGUUGGACAUUGCUCACCUGGAACACUGUCAACUGUUAUGAGAAGAAAAGUACAUGUGCCAUCGUUAUCAUCUAUCAAGUCAUGGUUUGGGCCUUCUGACACCAUCAAAAAUCACGCCAGCUAAAGAAAAAGAAGAUAAGUCCCAAGAAAUUUACUUAUUUUUUUCCCCAGAUCUUCCAGCCUGUGUGUUAUAGCAAAUUAUUCCCAUAUAUUUCCUAUCAGUAUUCCUUCAUUCAAAUUUCUUUUGUAAUUCAUAUUAAGCUACUAGUGUCUACAGAUUGGUUUAUAUUUGAUUUCCUACAAUCUACUAAAAUAGUACUUUUCUACUAUUAGAUAUGUUGCUUAUUCUAAAGUGCUGCUUGCUUGGAGAGAGAACCAAAUAACUUAAAAUUUUAUCAUAGAACGACCUGUAAAUUACAGAGAACAAACUAGUAGAACUCAUCUUCUGAGUGAAUUUGGAGCUGGCUAUUUGUUCCUUCAGCAAUACCUAGUAAUGCACAGACAGCUCUGUAUUAGAUUAUUUGUCAAUGUUAUUUUAUGAAGAAAUUUAAUAGAGUUUACUACUCUGCAAUCCACUGAGCACUUCCUAACUUAAUUGUCAUAUUCUGCAUUUCCUGAGAUUUACAAUUAAAAUUGUGACGAGCCAGACAUACAAACUACCCCUUGUGUGACAAGACAGGUUAUUUGUAUUUUACCAAAAUUAUAUGAGAUAUUCAUU